ACCUUCAAAAGAAUCUUCCGUGGGAUCUAAGAAGAUGGAAAAAAGCAAAAAUGAAGAACACUGGGAAGACGAAGUCGAAGGUCUUGUUAUGUGGUCUACAAAGCUUGACCAAGCAAAAUUAGAUUAACUGUCUCUAUGGUAAUAGAGCAGUGGCGCUAGUGCUGUUUGAAAACAAGAAGAGGAGGAUGAGUUACAUCCAACCUUAUGCUAAUGGACAUCUGGAGUCCUUGGUGCGCUCGGUGCUUUCUUGUGUGUAGACAUUUCAUUGCCCGACUAGAUAACAUUAUGACAUUUCAACUAUGCAACCCUGAGCUUCCUAUGUCUCUUUUAAUAGACAUCUGCUACUCCUCCCUGCAUGAGGUGACUUUCUGAAGCCAGUUGGGGAAGUUUGUGGGUAUGAUGCAGGAUAAAUCGUCAUCAUCACCACAGCCACAAUUAUCUGUUCCCAUGACAAAUGCUAAUCCAGCAGCAGAUGGACACCAAAGACUCAUAGUUUGGAACUCCUUAUUUUUCUGAUCCAUAUGGGAAACUCCUGACUGUAUUCACCCCAUGGCAAGCAUAUCAACCUGUCUUCCCAACUUCAAGUCCUGCUAAAGCUUACAUAGUAACGAAGGAGACAUGUAUGCAUAUAAAUUCAAAAUUGGAUAUUUUUAUGACUAAAUAAUACCCAGAAACGAUUUCCUAUGUAAAUUGGUGAAAUCUACCCAUAAUAUUUACAGCACUUCCAUGAUUUUGUGGCUUUAUUUUAAUGUGACUUUGAUUUCAGCAAGUACUCUUAAGCUGUGUGUCCUCCAGAAGGCGCCAUUUCACUGCUAUAUUGACAUUUUAACUCUUGAAAAGCUCUUCCUGCACUGUUCUAAUGAAUAGAUUUAAAGUAGCUGGUCUGAGCACUUUCCAGCUGUUACUUAUCUAUGCAGAUUGAAACAAAAACCCAACCAUUAUUGAUGCAAAAGGCUACAUAAGUAUGAGAAUGUGUUGCUGAGCAUGAAGGUAUGAGAAAAAGGCUUUUUUUUAAAAAAAAAGAAAGAAAGAAAAUAUCUGAACCGAAUUCCUGGGAACAACAUACCGGUAAUAAAUGUAUGCACAGUUCACAUAUAACCACUGUUGUUAUACAAAACCACUUUUAAUAAAAUGUUAAGAACAUUAAAUGAAAUACACCAUAUAGUUUAGAAGUGUUCACAGAGGAAGUACUUGAUAUUAAAAGCAUAAUGGCAUUGUUCUCCUCUAAAGGUGAUCCUUCCUCCAUUAAAGUCAAAUAUAAAACUUUCAGCAGUUGUUUGUGUCUUGUGAAAGUUAACAAGUUGUGCAGAAGAAAAUGAAAAUAAAGUAUCUCAAUGUUUAUGC